rnacentral:rRNA from 1 species
GACGAACGCUGGCGGCGUGCUUAACACAUGCAAGUCGAACGCUGAACCCGCUUCGGUGGGGGAUGAGUGGCGAACGGGUGAGUAACACGUGGGCAACCUGCCCCCGGCUCUGGGAUAACUCCAAGAAAUUGGGGCUAAUACCGGAUGUGACCGCUGGCCGCAUGGUCUGGUGGUGGAAAGGGUUUCCGGCUGGGGAUGGGCCCGCGGCCUAUCAGCUUGUUGGUGGGGUAGUGGCCUACCAAGGCGACGACGGGUAGCCGGCCUGAGAGGGUGACCGGCCACACUGGGACUGAGACACGGCCCAGACUCCUACGGGAGGCAGCAGUGGGGAAUAUUGCGCAAUGGGCGGAAGCCUGACGCAGCGACGCCGCGUGGGGAUGACGGCCUUCGGGUUGUAAACCUCUUUCAGCAGGGACGAAGCGCAAGUGACGGUACCUGCAGAAGAAGCACCGGCCAACUACG